GUCUGUGCGUGCCUUGGGAGUGCAUGUGCAGUGCCCGUUGCAGCCAGUAGAGCUGAAGGGUGGGAGAAUGGGCCCUCAUCUGGGGUGUGACACCCAGUGGGUGGGCAGCAGCUCCAUGCAUCUGUACAGCACAGUGGAAUCCCUGUCUUUUCUGUUGCCUACUCGCUUGUCUACAUGCUGCCCAUAGUUGAAGGAUUGUGUUGUGUGCUGCCUCCUCCAGGAAGCCUUUCCUGACAGUCCCCUGCCCUCAAUGUCAUUUUUUGUUGGAGGAGCCAGGCAGGGGCUGAGCAGCUGGGCCUGGCAGGCCUCAGAGCAGAUGGGAGUUAGAUUUUAUUCUAUGAGUCAAGGGCUUUCCAAGGGUUUUUAGCAGGGGAGUGAAGUGAUCUGAUACCAGUUUUUAAAGGAACUCCGAUUUCAUCUGGAAAAUCAGUUAAUAAAUGAGUUACAAUUUGCAAAGUGGUUAGAACAGUGCUGGACAUGUAGCCUAUGCUCUGUAGGUGCACAUGAAAUAAAUCCAACAAAGUGGAAGCAGGGAAAUGAGUGGAGGGGCUUCACAGUCCAACAAGGAUGAGGCAGAGGUCUGGCCUGGGGUAGUGGCGUUGGAGAGGGUGAGAAGGAGGUGGACUUAAGGAAAUAAACAUUUUGGAUAUAGGGUUGACUGUACCUGCAGACAGGUGGGUUGGAUGGGUUAGGGGACUCUGCUAUGCAGACUCAUGCAGACCUUGCCCGUAAGAAAUUCUCACUGGUCCUGAGGGGAGGACACAGGCACGGGUAGGGCGCACACUCUCUCACACACUCCCACACGCCCCUCUGGUACCCCCUUCUCUGAGUUGGGCAAGGCUCUGGUCACAGAGGGUAUCAGCUGGUGAGAGGCUCAGGCUGCGUGGGUGGGGGUGGAAUUAUAGGAGGGAAGGUUGAGGGGCAGGUGGCAGCAGCUCUGCAUCCCCCAGGAGACCUUGGCCUCAGGGCGCUUCCUCCUGCCAUCUGCAGAGCCUCCAGCCCCCAGAGUGCAUGAGCCUGCCUCCUCCCGGUGCCCAUUGCGGUCCCCCAGACCCUGGUGGUCCUAGCCGCUCCCUAGAUGAGGCUGUAGACACCUGUGCUGGCUGCUUUCAGGAGGAACAGGCCAGUGGAGCCAGCCUGAGUCCUCAGACAGCCCGCACUUGAGGGGGUGGCUGUUUGGUCGUGACUCUCCCCAGAGUCAGGAGUUAAUUACCAGAGCCACCCGCUGGCUGGGUGGCCUAGAGAGUCACUGCCUCCCUAGGGAGCAGUCCAGGCUGAGGCCGUGAGGGGUCUUGCUGCCGUCUCCUCUCUGAGGGUGGGGAGGUUGUGACCCUGGGUGUGGCUGUCUCUUGCUGUGGGGCGUGGCUGCGCAGGUCUGACUGCUGACUCACCAGGCAGGGUGGGGCUGGAGUGAGGCUUUCCCCAGUAGGGCCCUGAAAAUGGAGAUGGCCUAGUCCCAGGGGUGGAAGGAGGUCCCUCCAGACCUGAGUGAGGAACGGGUCUGCCAUUCUUGCCUCCUCCUCACCUGUGAUGGCUGUGGGGGUUGAGCCCCAGGCAGCUGCCUUCCACUGAGGGAUAGAACCAGACUGAACUCCGGAGGCCCCAAGAGUGUGAGGAAGGGGCCAUGGGGGAUCCUGGGCUCAGACACAGGACCUCUGAGUCUCCACAUCCCUCUCAGGGCCGUCCACUGCGCCCUGCGCUGAGCGUGCUCCUCACCUGACCUUGAAUUCUCAAGACGGCCCUUGAGAUGGGGAAACUGAGGCUCAGAGAGGUGAGGUCACAUGCCCAAGGCCCCACAGCUAGACAGUGGCGGAGCCAGGACUCGCCUCAAGGUCUGUCGUUCUCCGCCACCAGGCUCUGUGCCUCUGCCACUGAGCAGCCCGUGUGGCCUUGGACAGGUGCUGCUCCUCCAGCCCCCUGCCUCCCAGCCCACGCUACGGAGGCGGGGUUAGACACUCGGGAGUCCAGGAUGUGGGCCCAGAGGUCUUAUCUGAUCCUUAGCGUGGAGGGAGCCAUGUCUGAGUGUUGUGGGAAGUCCUGGGGGCUAAGGCCAGGUAGGUUUUCCUGGGCCUCAAGCAGAGAGGGUGAGCUUCCCCUCAAGGCAGAAAAAGGAAGCAUUUGGGGUUUGGGGUGGGAGGAGGACGUGGGUGGUGCUGAGAAGUCGCCUGGGGAAGCAGGGACUUGCCUUCUACUUUCUGUUCUGUGGUGACACAGUCUUUGAAAGGUGAAAGGAGUCAGGGGUAUGACACUUCCCCUCCCAGAGCUUCAGUUACCUCAUCUGUCAAAUGGGUUCAUUGUGGCCCCUGCCCCACAGGGCUGAUCAGGCUGAAUCUCCAAGGGCAAAGCGUUUGGCACAUCAGAGCUGCUGGUGGCUGCCAUUUUUUAGCACCCAUUGGUGGACCGUCAUCUGAACAGGCUUUCCAGUAGGGGUUGUCCCCAGGUUUAGGCAGGAACCUGGGCUCAGAGAGGUGGUGACUUGUCCCAGGUCACAUAGCUAGCGCCUGAAGGCUCCUGGAUUAGAAUCAGCUCCACUGACCUGAGGCUGCUCUGUGGGGUGUGGGAGAGUCAGUGCCCUCUGUCAUGCCUUGCUACUCCCUGGCCGUGCGACCUUGGGCAAAUCAUUUCUCUUUGCCUCCAUUUCCUCAUCUGUAAGUUGGGGUGACAAUAGGGCCUGCCUCACAGGGUCGUUUGUGAAUUAACUGAGUUCGUGUGA